rnacentral:rRNA from 1 species
GUGUCAGCCGCCGCGGUAAUACGAAUGGUGCAAGCGUUGUUCGGAAUCACUGGGCAUAAAGCGCUCGUAGGCGGUGGCGUAAGUCAGUUGUGAAAUCCCUCGGCUCAACCGAGGAACUGCAACUGAAACUACGUCACUUGAGUGUGGGAGGGGAGAACGGAAUUCCUGGUGGAGCGGUGAAAUGCGUAGAUAUCAGGAGGAACGCCGGAGGCGAAAGCGGUUCUCUGGCCCACCACUGACGCUGAGGAGCGAAAGCUAGGGGAGCAAACAGGAUUAGAUACCCUGGUAGUCCUAGCCGUAAACGAUGGGCACUAAGUAGGGGGGCUCCGAAGGCCUCCCUGCCGGAGCUAAUGUGUUAAGUGCCCCGCCUGGGGAGUAUGGUCGCAAGGCUAAAACUCAAAGGAAUUGACGGGGGCUCACACAAGCGGUGGAGCAUGUUGUUUAAUUCGAUGCAACGCGAAGAACCUUACCUGGGCUUGACAUGCAAGUGGUACCAAUCCGAAAGGGGAGGGACCUUCUUUGAAGGAGCUUGCACAGGUAUUGCAUGGCUGUCGUCAGCUCGUGUCGUGAGAUGUUGGGUUAAGUCCCGUAACGAGCGAAACCCUUGUCCUUAGUUGCCAGCGGGUCAUGCCGGGGACUUUAAGGAGACUGCCGGUGUUAAGCCGGAGGAAGGCGGGGAUGACGUCAAGUCAUCAUGGUCCUUACGCCCAGGGCCACAAACGUGCUACAAUGGUCGGUACAAAGAGACGCAAGACCGCGAGGUGGAGCAAAUCUCAAAAAGCCGGCCCCAGUUCGGAUUGGAGGCUGAAAUUCGCCUCCAUGAAGUCGGAAUCGCUAGUAAUCGCGGAUCAGCCAUGCCGCGGUGAAUGUGUUCCUGAGCCUUGCACACACUGCCCGUC